GUACAAGUGCAUAAUAAUGCAGCAUAAGAAUAACACCAACCAAUAAAAGCAAAAUGCAAUUGACAGUGCAUAAUAAUUCAGCUUUUCUUUCAAAUCAUCAAAUCAAACCUCACAAAAGCUUCAAAGAAUUCAAUAAAAUUGCAAAACCAUCUAUGAUGAACUAGUGUAAUGACAGGACCACAUUUUUCCUACUUCAUGUGAAAACUAUAAUUAAUUCACCUUGCACAAUUAUUAGCAUAAUGUAAAUAUACACGAUAAAUUUAUGAGAUACAAUCUUUUUUAUUUAAAGUGACACAUCAUCUUUUUGACAUCUAAUCCAAUAUUAUCAAGAAGUAUAUAUAGUAAUAAUAAAACAACAAUGUCAAUUUGAGUUAAUAUUCUUGGCCUUCAGCAGACAACAUUGCUUCCAUGCCCCUUAUUCCAGCAGGAUACUUCCAUAACUGAA
rnacentral:misc_RNA from 1 species